GACGAACGCUGGCGGCGUGCUUAACACAUGCAAGUCGAACGGUAAGGCUCCAGCUUGCUGGGGUACACGAGUGGCGAACGGGUGAGUAACACGUGGGUGACCUGCCCUGCACUUCGGGAUAAGCCUGGGAAACUGGGUCUAAUACCGGAUAGGACCGCACCGUGAGGGUGUGGUGGAAAGUUUUUUCGGUGUGGGAUGGGCCCGCGGCCUAUCAGCUUGUUGGUGGGGUAAUGGCCUACCAAGGCGGCGACGGGUAGCCGGCCUGAGAGGGUGGACGGCCACAUUGGGACUGAGACACGGCCCAGACUCCUACGGGAGGCAGCAGUGGGGAAUAUUGCACAAUGGGCGGAAGCCUGAUGCAGCGACGCCGCGUGGGGGAUGACGGCCUUCGGGUUGUAAACUCCUUUCACCAUCGACGAAGGGUUUCUGACGGUAGAUGGAGAAGAAGCACCGGCUAACUACGUGCCAGCAGCCGCGGUAAUACGUAGGGUGCGAGCGUUGUCCGGAAUUACUGGGCGUAAAGAGCUCGUAGGUGGUUUGUCGCGUCGUCUGUGAAAUUCCGGGGCUUAACUCCGGGCGUGCAGGCGAUACGGGCAUAACUUGAGUACUGUAGGGGAGACUGGAAUUCCUGGUGUAGCGGUGAAAUGCGCAGAUAUCAGGAGGAACACCGGUGGCGAAGGCGGGUCUCUGGGCAGUAACUGACGCUGAGGAGCGAAAGCAUGGGGAGCGAACAGGAUUAGAUACCCUGGUAGUCCAUGCCGUAAACGGUGGGCGCUAGGUGUGGGUUUCCUUCCACGGGAUCCGUGCCGUAGCUAACGCAUUAAGCGCCCCGCCUGGGGAGUACGGCCGCAAGGCUAAAACUCAAAGGAAUUGGCGGGGGCCCGCACAAGCGGCGGAGCAUGUGGAUUAAUUCGAUGCAACGCGAAGAACCUUACCUGGGCUUGACAUAUACAGGAUCGCGCCAGAGAUGGUGUUUCCCUUGUGGCUUGUAUACAGGUGGUGCAUGGUUGUCGUCAGCUCGUGUCGUGAGAUGUUGGGUUAAGUCCCGCAACGAGCGCAACCCUUGUCUUAUGUUGCCAGCACGUUGUGGUGGGGACUCGUAAGAAACUGCCGGGGUUAACUCGGAGGAAGGUGGGGAUGACGUCAAAUCAUCAUGCCCCUUAUGCCCAGGGCUUCACACAUGCUACAAUGGUCGGUACAGUGGGUUGCCAGUCCGUGAGGGCGAGCUAAUCCCGCAAAGCCGGUCUCAGUUCGGAUCGGGGUCUGCAACUCGACCCCGUGAAGUCGGAGUCGCUAGUAAUCGCAGAUCAGCAACGCUGCGGUGAAUACGUUCCCGGGCCU
rnacentral:rRNA from 1 species